AACGUAGGAGGCAAGCGUUAUCCGGAUUCACUGGGCGUAAAGCGCGUGCAGGCGGUUCGGUAAGUUGGGCGUGAAAUCUCCUGGCUCAACUGGGAGAGGUCGUCCAAUACUACCGGGCUAGAGAGCAGUAGAGGAAGAUGGAAUUCCCGGUGUAGUGGUGAAAUGCGUAGAUAUCGGGAGGAACACCAGUGGCGAAGGCGGUCUUCUGGACUGUUUCUGACGCUCAGACGCGAAAGCUAGGGGAGCAAACGCG
rnacentral:rRNA from 1 species